rnacentral:lncRNA from 1 species
AAGUAGCUAAAUCCUUGGUUCCUAAGCUCUGCCACAUGAGCAAAAAUAUUGAGAACCAAUCAAUAUGCCAUGUCAUCCCGUACUGGAUCUGAAAUUAAAUUUUUUUUUUUAACAAUUCACAGCCCAUUUGAUCCAUCUCUUAGCCCAAUCUCGCGCCUCUCUUGGUUACGUAUUGUUCUCUUCUAAACAUGACCACGUGGGUAAUUCUGUAAGUCUCAUUUUAAAUUUUUUUUUUCCUUUUGUCGUCUUAAAUUUAAAGCAAAAUCCAAAAGUCGGAGAAUUCGAUUUUGUAACGUCGUCCACCACCAUCAAAGCUAUGAACAGCUUCAACUCCAUUAUGUCAUCCAUGCUCUUCAUCCCCCU